rnacentral:rRNA from 1 species
UAAAUACGCAGAGGAAACAAAACAAAACUUGACCCCCUCCAGUAAUGGCGAAUGAACAGGGAGCAGCUCAUUGUGGAAAUCAGCGCUAGCUAGCCCGACUUGUAUUCACAAGGUGUAGCACCAGUGGAUGCGCAGGCGUAAACCUGGUGGAAAAGAGUACCAGCGAAGGUGAGAGUCCUGCAUGUAGCCUGCUGCCGUCUGCGCACGGUGCGCAUGCGACGAGUCACGCUCCUUGGGCAUGGAUCGUAAAGCAGGUGGUAACUUUCACUUCAAGCUAAGCACUAGCACGAGACCGAUAGCAAACAAGUACCAUGAGGGACAUCUGAAAAGAACUUUGUGAAGAGAGUUAAAGAGUGUUUGAAAUUGCUGAAGUGGAUGCGAAAGUGAUUUGUGUGACAUGAUUAGACUGCUGCGUGCGCUUCUAUCUUAUUUGCCUUUUGUGCCACGAGUACGGGGGCUAUGUGCGAGCGUGACUUGUGCAGUGUUUCGUAUUCUGUUUGUCGUCGUGGCUUACGCGUGAGGAAACACGUACGACGUUGAAGAAAGUCUCCGGGUCUACGGCUGUCUUCUUCGGUGCGCUUGCUUACAAGCUGUCUGGUGGCCACAGAAUCACUUUCGGCCCGUCUUGAAACACGGACCAAGGAGUCUAGCACCCGCGCAAGCGCACGGACUGCCGAGGGCUGUAUGCAUAAUGAAAAUAAAUGCUGGGCAACUUGUACCAGCGACCAACCAUUCGUUCGAGAAAGGCUUGAGUACGAGCGCGGCUGUUAGGACCCGAAAGAUGGUGAACUAUGCUUGUGAAGGGCAAACUCAGGGGAAACUCUGAUGAAGGCCCACAGCGAUACUGACGUGCAAAUCGUUCGUCAUACAUGGGCGUAGGGGCGAAAGACUAAUCGAGCCAUCUAGUAGCUGGUCCCCUUCGAAGUAUCCCUCAGGACAGCUGGAGACGCGCAGUUUUAUCAGGUAAAGCAAAUGAUUAGGGGAUCAGGGGGCGCGCUGACCUCGACCCAUUCUCAAACUUUAAAUGGGUACGGUUCUGUAGUUGCAUUGUCGAGCUUAAGGGACCAAUGACGCCUCUUAGUGGGCCAUUUUUGGUAAGCAGAACUGGCGAUGAGGGGUGAACCUAACGCUGGGUUAAGGUGUUUAACAGCACGCUCAUCAGAUACCAUAAAGGGUGUUGGUUCAUUUGAACAGUAGGACGGUGGUCAUGGAAGUCGAAAUCCGCUAAGGAGUGUGUAACAACUCACCUACCGAAUGAAGUAGUCCCGAAAAUGGAUGACGCUUAAGCGGGUGACCGAUACCAAGCCGUUGCUGCGGCAAGCUUGUUGCAUUGAGUAGGAGGGUAUCUGGGGGCCGCUAAAAAGCUUGAGGCGUGAGCCUGAGUGGAGCAGUCUUCUGU